UGAUUGGCGGUCCUACCGUCACUCACAUUGUUAAUCACAAACAGCAAGGCUAGACGCUGAAAACUUUAGCUACGUACGAGUGUUUUACAUAGAAAAUGUUUUUAAAACACGGAUAACACAUUCUAUACGAGCUGACUGGACACGAUGAUAUACAAUACACCGAACAACACUUUUCAUCGACAGACAGUAAGACAGGUGUCUCUAGCUGUAUGUAGGGACACUUCAUAUGCUGUCGUUCCUCUCCAGAUGUCUGCAUAGUGCUUGAAAGAGGUAUCGUGUUCGUCUUUUCUUUAAGGGUGACUCAGUCUCCAUAGGCAUUCACCAUGGGGUGUAGACAGUGAGUUACUGCUUUUUUUCCUCUAGGAGAAGAGCUGAAAGGGGCUGCAAUGUUAUCUCUCUCAGACACACGCAAUUUGGCCGGCAGUUUCUCCAGCCACCUUCUGAUUCAAUCAAUAAGCAACAGGUGCCGUGUGCCUCUCCCCCGGGUGCUGCCAGCUUCUGCGGGGCUUUUAAGAUCCCACACCAUAAUUAAGACUGUAUCCAGUGAAUCAGUCGGCCCAGCGCUCUACAGCUGACACACACACACACGCAUCCAAACAGCAUCAGAACAAACGUACAGACAUCACUUAGCAUAAGUGCUACUCAGUUGGAGCCCAGCACUCCAGCUUACUCUAAACUGGUUUUC
rnacentral:lncRNA from 1 species